rnacentral:rRNA from 1 species
UGGAGCGUGUGGUUUAAUUCGAUGCUACACGAAGAACCUUACCAGGGUUUGACAUGCAAGUGGUAGGAAACCGAAAGGCGACCGACCCUUCGGGGAGCUUGCACAGGUGCUGCAUGGCUGUCGUCAGCUCGUGUCGUGAGAUGUUCGGUUAAGUCCGCUAACGAGCGCAACCCUCGCUGUGUGUUAUAUGUGUCACACGGGACUGCCGGUCUUAAGCCGGAGGAAGGUGAGGAUGAUGUCAAGUCAGCAUGGCCUUUAUAUCUUGGGCA